UAAAUAAACGCAAGUUCAGUCCAUCAACGACACUCGUGCGAGGCGGAUGCGAAAGCGCGCGCAACUCUCUCUGCCCAGUGCCAUAAACAAAACAUUGACAGGAGUACAAUUACCAAAAAAAUAUAAAUAAUAAAAACAACAACAAAAUGCCAAACAAGAUAAUAUAAACAAGAAAUCACAGACAGUAUUUACAGCAGCAGCGGUAGCGCAGCAGAAGCCAGCGUCAGCGCCGACAGCGUUUGAAGAACGCCCUCCGAUCGACCGA
rnacentral:sRNA from 1 species